AUGAAUUUAUUAGUUAAAAGUUUUUGCAUCACGGAGGCCCAACAACCUCACAAGUAUGCAGGUGGCGCUGUUGUUUUUUCUCAGUCUUCAAGAUGGCGGUCGUCUGUGCGAGCUGUACUGCUAGUGUGCUGCGACGAUGUCUUUGCUUCAUCGUGUGUUUUUGUGUUUGCUGUAAUGAAACGGGACGUAGUUAGCGUGCACAAAAGUGCCAGAAGAUGCCUUGUGUCUCGCUGCAAACUCGCCGUAUGCGUGGCGCGCCAGGCAAAUGUGGACGAACGAUUUUCACGCCGUGGCCUUUGUCUGGUUGUCGCGGAAUGUUGGGUGUACUGUACGUCGAAAAGAAAUAAUCGGUAUUGCUGGCGUGCCUCAGCUCGUCCACUACGCAGCAACAUCUAUGAUGGGAGUAAUGUCGUCGACGCAGCGCCGGCAACUUGGAGAGCGUCGUACCAUUGAAAAGUGGUGAGACCGUGACCCUACAGCAGUGUCCACAUAAUGGCAGGGAAAUGCAGGGAUCCCGCAGCGAUGGCUACAGCAGCACGACGUGUAAUCUGGAUGUCAUGUCAGGGUACACGUGCACUCCAAGACGACGACCCUCCACCUCAAAAACAGCCUCUCCUCAGAGACUAGCAAGGAGAUUAAAUGAAAGGAAAAUACCACAUCCGUAACCAGUCAGAUACUAUGUGUUCCUUACAUUUAACCUUCUCUCUUUAAGGAAGCGUGGUA